CGCUCCAUAGUGUAGUGGUUAGCACGUCUGCUUUACACACAGAAGGUCCCGGGUUCAUGCCCCAGGUGGCACCA
rnacentral:tRNA from 1 species